GACGAACGCUGGCGGCGUGCUUAACACAUGCAAGUCGAACGGAAAGGCCCUGCUUUUGUGGGGUGCUCGAGUGGCGAACGGGUGAGUAACACGUGAGUAACCUGCCCUUGACUUUGGGAUAACUUCAGGAAACUGGGGCUAAUACCGGAUAGGAGCUCCUGCCGCAUGGUGGGGGUUGGAAAGUUUCGGCGGUUGGGGAUGGACUCGCGGCUUAUCAGCUUGUUGGUGGGGUAGUGGCUUACCAAGGCUUUGACGGGUAGCCGGCCUGAGAGGGUGACCGGCCACAUUGGGACUGAGAUACGGCCCAGACUCCUACGGGAGGCAGCAGUGAGGAAUAUUGCACAAUGGGCGGAAGCCUGAUGCAGCAACGCCGCGUGCGGGAUGACGGCCUUCGGGUUGUAAACCGCUUUCGCCUGUGACGAAGCGUGAGUGACGGUAAUGGGUAAAGAAGCACCGGCUAACUACGUG
rnacentral:rRNA from 1 species